rnacentral:rRNA from 1 species
GGAAGUAAAAAGGUCGGUAAACAANGGUUUUUCCGUAAGGNGAACCCUGCCGGAAAGGGAUUCAUUA